rnacentral:lncRNA from 1 species
GCAGGAGAAGGAGAAGAAGAUGUUGGAGAAGAUGACCGGAGACAGUCUCGUUGAGUACUCCUUUAAGAACAAGGGUACUGCGAAGACAUAGGCCCCUUCCUCUAGCACCAAUUCUGUUGGUGCAGAAUUCCACCGACGUCAGAGAAGCUAGAGUUGAGGGGAUUGCAUUCGCCAUCGGAACCUGUAAGGAAAGUCUAAACCGAAGUUGGGGGUGCUCCGGCAAGACCCUCCAAAGCUCAAGUCAG